rnacentral:siRNA from 1 species
UAAAACUAAGAGUGUUUGUUGGUC